AUUGAACGCUGGCGGCAGGCCUAACACAUGCAAGUCGAACGAGUGGCGGACGGGUGAGUAAUGUCUGGGUAACUGCCCGAUGGAUGGGGAUAACUACUGGAAACGUUAGUUAAUACCGCAUACCAUCGGAUGUGCCCAGAUGGGAUUAGCUUGUAGGUGAGGUAACGGCCUACCUAGGCGACGAUACCUAGCUGGUCUGAGAGGCUGACCAGCGACACUGGAGCGUGGACGCGGACCAGACUCCUACGAGAGGCAGCAGUGGGGAAUAUGGCACAAUGGGCGGGAGCCUGAUGCAGCCAUGCCGCGUGUGUGGAGGAGGCGUUCGGGUUGUAAAGUACUUUCAGCGGGGAGGCGUUACCAGCAGAAGAAGCACCGGCUAACUCCGUGCCAGCAGCCGCGGUAAUAC
rnacentral:rRNA from 1 species